GAACGCACAUUGCGCCCUCCGGUAUUCCGGGGGGCAUGCCUGUCCGAGCGUCAUUACAACCCUCAAGCCCGGCUUGCGUGUUGGGCGUCGGCCCCCCGGGGCCCGCCCGAAAUACAGGGACCUCCCGUUGAAGGGCUCCCAGCGUAUGGGCUAACACCCGCUGAGAGAGACCCCAGACACGGAGGUCGAACCCCCGCAGUUUAACUGUAGCUCGGUGGACCUCGGAUCAGGUAGGGAUACCCGCUGAACUUAAG
rnacentral:misc_RNA from 1 species